CCUACGGGCGGCUGCAGUGGGGAAUAUUGGACAAUGGGGGCAACCCUGAUCCAGCCAUGCCGCGUGUGUGAAGAAGGCCCUCGGGUUGUAAAGCACUUUCAGUGAGGAAGAACGCCUGGUGGUUAAUACCCAUCUGGAAAGACAUCACUCACAGAAGAAGCACCGGCUAACUCCGUGCCAGCAGCCGCGGUAAUACGGAGGGUGCGAGCGUUAAUCGGAAUUACUGGGCGUAAAGCGCGCGUAGGUGGCUUGAUAAGCCGGUUGUGAAAGCCCCGGGCUCAACCUGGGAACGGCAUCCGGAACUGUCAAGCUAGAGUGCAGGAGAGGAAGGUAGAAUUCCCGGUGUAGCGGUGAAAUGCGUAGAGAUCGGGAGGAAUACCAGUGGCGAAGGCGGCCUUCUGGACUGACACUGACACUGAGGUGCGAAAGCGUGGGUAGCAAACAGGAUUAGAUACCCUAGUAGUC
rnacentral:rRNA from 1 species